rnacentral:rRNA from 1 species
UCAGGAUGAACGCUAGCUACAGGCUAACACAUGCAAGUCGCGGGGCGAGCAUGGGGUUGCUUGCAAACCCUGAUGGCGACCGGCGCACGGGUGAGUAACGCGUAUCCAACCUUCCCCUUAGUAGGCAUAGCCCGGCGAAAGUCGGAUUAAUACCCUAUGUUAUUCGUCGAGGACAUCUGAAGUGAAUCAAAGGUUUACCGCUAAGGGAUGGGGAUGCGUCUGAUUAGGUAGUCGGCGGGGUAACGGCCCACCGAGCCAGCGAUCAGUAGGGGUUCUGAGAGGAAGGUCCCCCACAUUGGAACUGAGACACGGUCCAAACUCCUACGGGAGGCAGCAGUGAGGAAUAUUGGUCAAUGGGCGAGAGCCUGAACCAGCCAAGUAGCGUGCAGGACGACGGCCCUAUGGGUUGUAAACUGCUUUUAUGCGGGGAUAAAGUGCGGGACGCGUCCCGCUUUGCAGGUACCGCAUGAAUAAGGACCGGCUAAUUCCGUGCCAGCAGCAGC